GACGAACGCUGGCGGCGUGCUUAACACAUGCAAGUCGAACGGAAAGGCCUGCUUUCCCUUGUGGAUUGCGGGUACUCGCGUGGCGAACGGGUGAGUAACACGUGCGUGAUCUGCCCCCAACUUGGGUAUAAGCCUGGGAAACUGUGUCUAAUUCCCGAUAGGACUGCAGGGUGGUGCCUGUGGUGGCAAACGAUUUUCUAGUGGUUGGGGAUGAGCUCGCGGCCGAUCAGCUUGUGGGUGGGGUAAUGGCCUACCAAGGCGGCGACGGGUAGCCGGCCUGGGAGGGUGGACGGCCACAGUGGGACUGAGACACGGGCCCGGCUCCUACGCGAGGAAGCAGUGGGGAAUAAUGAGCGAUGGGCGGAAGCCUGAUGCAGCGACGCCGAGUGGGGGAUGACGGGCGUCGGGUUGUAAACUCCUUUCGGCCGCGAGGAAGCCACCUGGUUGGAAGGGUGGUGACGGUAGUGGUAGAAGAAGCACCGGCUAACUACGUG
rnacentral:rRNA from 1 species